UGGGGAAUUUUGGACAAUGGGCGAAAGCCUGAUCCAGCAAUGCCGCGUGUGUAAAGAAGGCCUUCGGGUUGUAAAGCACUUUUGUCCGGAAAGAAAUCCUUGGCUCUAAUACAGUCGGGGGAUGACGGUACCGGAAGAAUAAGCACCGGCUAACUACGUGCCAGCAGCCGCGGUAAUACGUAGGGUGCAAGCGUUAAUCGGAAUUACUGGGCGUAAAGCGUGCGCAGGCGGUUUGCUAAGACCGAUGUGAAAUCCCCGGGCUCAACCUGGGAACUGCAUUGGUGACUGGCAGGCUAGAGUAUGGCAGAGGGGGGUAGAAUUCCACGUGUAGCAGUGAAAUGCGUAGAGAUGUGGAGGAAUACCGAUGGCGAAGGCAGCCCCCUGGGCCAAUACUGACGCUCAUGCACGAAAGCGUGGGGAGCAAACAGGAUUAGAUACCCUGGUAGUCCACGCCCUAAACGAUGUCAACUAGUUGUUGGGGAUUCAUUUCCUUAGUAACGUAGCUAACGCGUGAAGUUGACCGCCUGGGGAGUACGGUCGCAAGAUUAAAACUUAAAGGAAUUGACGGGGUCAUA
rnacentral:rRNA from 1 species